rnacentral:lncRNA from 1 species
AAAUCCUGUUGGAAUUUCCCCAGCACAUCCCCAGCGAGUCCCUUUGUAAAAAUUCCCCAACAAACUUACCCCAACAAAUCCUAGAAAGCCCGCUUUGAAACAAAUACCCAGCAUGCCCCAUUGUACAAAAUCCGCACAAAGAAUCCACUUUGUAAAUAUUCCCCCUCAUAGCUUCCUUUUGUACAAAUCCCCACCGAAUACCUCCAAUAAAACCCCCGUUGAGAACCUCCAAGCAAAACGGGACAAAAAAAAAAGAAAGAGAGAAAAGAAAAAGAGCCUUGUGAGGCGAAUCAUCACGGAAUCUGGAAAUACAAGCCUGAGCAGUCUAAAAGGUUCCGACAUAUGAAUCAAAUCAAUGGCAGGACUUCGCAACAGAAAUGAAGACGCAACAAAGCAACCGGGAACGAUCAAGGUCACCAAACCGACCGUCAUUUCCGAACUAACAAAUGUUCUUUAUCUGAAAAGUUGAAACAGGUUUAAUCCAAGAUAACCGUGCAAGAAGCAGGUGUCGCCCAAAGAAGAAGGUACAUGGGUACAAGAAACAUUUCGGCAAUAAGGAAUUCACUCGAAAGGUAAGUUUCCACGAAACUCCCUUUUAUCUUCUACUAAAACAAGAAAAUUCAAAAAAAGAAAAGAGGUCAGUUGUUGUUCUCGAAUUUUGCCCCCAGCCAUCAGCAUUAGGGUUUUAAACCCUGAACUGAAUUUUUCUUUUAGUCAGCAUUAGGGUUUUAAACCCUAAACUGAACUUUUUCAUUCAGCCAGCAUUAGGGUUUUAAACCCUAAACUGAGCUUUUCCAUGCAAUCAGCAUUAGGGUUUUAAACCCUACACUGAAUUUUCUUUUAGUCAGCAUUAGGGUUUUAAACCCUAAACUGAACUUUUUCUAUUCAGCCAGCAUUAGGGUUUUAAACCCUAAACUGAGCUUUUCCAUGAAAUCAGCAUUAGGGUUUUAAACCCUAAACUGAAUUUUUCCCUUUAGUCAGCAUUAGGGUUUUAAACCCUAAACUGAACUUUUUCCAUUCAGCCAGCAUUAGGGCUUUAAACCCUAAACUGAGCUUUUCCAUGCAAUCAGCAUUAGGGUUUUAAACCCUAAACUGAAUUUUCCCUUUAGUCAGCAUUAGGGUUUUAAACUCUAACCUGAACUUUUUUCCCAUUCAGUCAGCAUUAGGGUUUUAAACCCUAAACUGAACUUUUUCCAUUCAGCCAGCAUUAGGGUUCUAAACCCUAAACUAAGCUUUUCCAUGCAAU